rnacentral:rRNA from 1 species
GACGAACGCUGACGGCGUGCUUAACACAUGCAAGUCGAAGGGAGUGGCGAACGGGUGAGUAAACCGUGAGUAACCUGCCCAUUUAUUUGGGAUAAGCAUGGGAAACUGGGUCAAAUACUGGAUGGAGUGGGAUGGGCUCGCGGCUUAUCAGCUUGUUGGUGGGGUGAUGGCUUACAAAGGCUUUGACGGGUAUCCGGCCUGCGAGGGUGGUCUGUGACAAUGGGACUGAGAUACGGCCCAGACGCCUACGGGAGGCAGCAGUGGGGGAUAUUGCACAAUGGACGAAAGUCUGAUGCAGCGACGUCGUGUGGGGGAUGAAGGCCGUCGGAUCGUAAAACUCUGUUAUUAGGGAAGCGGUACCUAAUCAGAAAGCCACGGCUAACUACGUGCCAGCAGCCGCGGUAAUUC